UACGUAGGGUGCGAGCGUUGUCCGGAAUUAUUGGGCGUAAAGAGCUCGUAGGCGGUCUGUCGCGUCGAUCGUGAAAACUUGGGGCUUAACCCUGAGCUUGCGGUCGAUACGGGCAUGACUGGAGUUCGGCAGGGGAGACUGGAAUUCCUGGUGUAGCGGUGAAAUGCGCAGAUAUCAGGAGGAAGACCGGUGGCGAAGGCGGGUCUCUGGGCCGAUACUGAUGCUGAGGAGCGAAAGCGUGGGGAGCGAACAGG
rnacentral:rRNA from 1 species